rnacentral:rRNA from 1 species
UUCGCAAUGCCCGAAAGGGUGACGAAGCGACGCCGCGUGUGGGAAGAAGGCUCUAGGGUUGUAAACCACUGUCAGGAGUUAAGAAAUAUAGAGACGUUAAUAGCGUUCUUGCUUGACUAAGGCUCCAGAGGAAGCCACGGCUAACUCUGUGCCAGCAGCCGCGGUAAUACAGAGGCGGCAAGCGCUGUUCGGAAUUAUUGGGCGUAAAGAGCACGUAGGUGGGUUUGCAAGUCAGAUGUGAAAGCCUCCUGUUCAACGGGAGAAUUGCAUCUGAAACUGCAGAUCUUGAGUGUAGGAGGGGAGAAUGGAACUUCUGGUGGAGCGGUGAAAUGCGUAGAUAUCAGAAGGAACGUCGGCGGCGAAAGCGACUCUCUGGCCUAUUACUGACACUGAGGUGCGAAAGUUAGGGGAGCAAACGGGAUUAGAUACCCCGGUAGUCCUAACCGUAAACGAUGGGCACUAAGUAGAGGGGUUUU